rnacentral:rRNA from 1 species
UACGUAGGGUGCAAGCGUUAAUCGGAAUUACUGGGCGUAAAGCGUGCGCAGGCGGUAAUGUAAGACAGUUGUGAAAUCCCCGGGCUCAACCUGGGAACUGCAUCUGUGACUGCAUUGCUGGAGUACGGCAGAGGGGGAUGGAAUUCCGCGUGUAGCAGUGAAAUGCGUAGAUAUCGGGAAGAACACCGAAGGCGAAAGCACUCUGCUGGGCCGAAACUGACACUGAUAGACGAAAGCUAGGGGAGCAAAUGGG